CCUACGGGAGGCAGCAGUGGGGAAUAUUGCACAAUGGGGGAAACCCUGAUGCAGCGACGCCGCGUGAGUGAAGAAGUAUUUCGGUAUGUAAAGCCCUAUCAGCAGGGAAGAAAAUGACGGUACCUGUUUAAGAAGCCCCGGCUAACUACGUGCCACAAGCCGGGGGAAUACGCAGGGGGCAAGCGUUAUCCGGAUUUACUGGGGGGAAAGGGAGCGUAGACGGCAGCACAAGUCUGGAGUGAAAUGCCGGGGCUUAACCCCGGGACUGGUGUGGAAACUGUGAAGCUAGAGUGGAGGAGAGGUAAGUGGAAUUCCUGGUGUAGCGGUGAAAUGCGUAGAUAUUAGGAGGAACACCAGUGGCGAAGGCGGCUUACUGGACUGUAACUGACGUUGAGGCUCGAAAGCGUGGGGAGCAAACAGGAUUAGAUACCCUUGUAGUC
rnacentral:rRNA from 1 species